CUGCAGGUGAGACAGGGAGUUCUAUGAGCUACAGGUGAGACGGGGAGUUCUAUGAGCUACAGGUGAGACGGGGAGUUCUAUGAGCUACAGGUGAGACGGGGAGUUCUAUGAGCUACAGGUGAGACGGGGAGUUCUAUGAGCUACAGGUGAGACGGGGAGUUCUAUGAGCUACAGGUGAGACGGGGAGUUCUAUGAGCUACAGGUGAGACGGGGAGUUCUAUGAGCUACAGGUGAGACGGGGAGUUCUAUGAGCUACAGGUGAGACGGGGAGUUCUAUGAGCUACAGGUGAGACGGGGAGUUCUAUGAGCUACAGGUGAGACGGGGAGUUCUAUGAGCUGCAGGUGAGACGGGGAGUUCUAUGAGCUACAGGUGAGACAGGGAGUUUACAGGUGAGACAGGGAGUUUACAGGUGAGACAGGGAGUUUACAGGUGAGACAGGGAGUUUACAGGUGAGACAGGGAGUUUACAGGUGAGACAGGGAGUUCUAUGAGCUGCAGGUGAGACCGAGUUCUAUGAGCUACGGGUGAGACGGGGAGUUCUAUGAGCUACGGGUGAGACGGGGAGUUCUAUGAGCUACGGGUGAGACGGGGAGUUCUAUGAGCUACGGGUGAGACGGGGAGUUCUAUGAGCUACGGGUGAGACAGGGAGUUCUAUGAGCUACGGGUGAGACAGGGAGUUUACAGGUGAGACAGGGAGUUCUAUGAGCUGCAGGUGAGACGGGAGUUUACGGCUGA